rnacentral:rRNA from 1 species
UAGGGAAUCUUCCGCAAUGGACGCAAGUCUGACGGAGCAACGCCGCGUGAGUGAAGAAGGAUUUCGGUUCGUAAAACUCUGUUGUUAGAGAAGAACAGCGCAUAGAGUAACUGUUAUGCGUGUGACGGUAUCUAACCAGAAAGCCACGGCUAACUACGUGCCAGCAGCCGCGGUAAUACGUAGGUGGCAAGCGUUGUCCGGAUUUAUUGGGCGUAAAGCGAGCGCAGGCGGUCAAUUAAGUCUGAUGUGAAAGCCCCCGCUCAACCGGGGAGGGUCAUUGGAAACUGGUUGACUUGAGUGCAGAAGAGGAGAGUGGAAUUCCAUGUGUAGCGGUGAAAUGCGUAGAUAUAUGGAGGAACACCAGUGGCGAAGGCGACUCUCUGGUCUGUAACUGACGCUGAGGCUCGAAAGCGUGGGUAGCAAACAGG